rnacentral:lncRNA from 1 species
AUGGCCUCAGCUCAGGAGCCCCCGCUAGGUUUGCGCCCGGAAUCUGGGGACAGAGGAGUAGUUUUAGGAGGGGUCUGGUGUGUGUGUGUGUGUGUGUGUGUGUGUGUGUGUGUGUGUGUGUGUGUGUGUGUGUGUGUGUGUGUGUCGGGGGGAAGUAGCUCUGGGAGGGGAGAACUUUGGGGAGGGAUUUGGAAGUGGGAUUUGAGAAAAGAAGCCUCCCCCUGUCCCCGCUGCUGCCGUCUAUCCCGUCCACAACCCACUGCCCCACUCUCCGUGCCUCUCGUCCUAUGUCCCCCCAGGUUCCUGGACGUGCAGAAUGUGCUAUGCCCCCGGUGCCGCAACAGGAGGAGGAAUGCUCGGUGCCAGAGAUCGAUCGAGGAGUGUACGGACCAGUGCUCGACUGCGCACGAUGACAGGAGCGAAGACUUAGACCAGAACCAAGACAGGGACAGGGACAGGGACCUGGACUGGGAUGGGGAUGGAGAAGAGGACGGUGAUGGGGACGGGGACGGGGACGGGGACACCUCCACGUGUUGGGUUCAGUACUUAAGCCGAGACCACCACCGCUCUAACCAGAGCCGCUCCCUUUCUUCCGAGUCCCCUCGGACAAGGCAAAGAGCGUCCUUCGGCUUGCAGUGGCUUCAUCCUCUGGAGCUGGCUCUGUAUGUAGCUGAUCUCUUCUCCCCUGGUUCCAGCAUGGUUGCCUUGCUGAAGCUGCCCAGGCUGAAGGAACCAUACUCAUUGUCACUACCAUGGAUUUCCAGUUCAGCCAGGGUUGAAGAUCAGGAAGGAUGGGGAUGAAGGCCCAGAUGGUCCUGGUGUGAGCGUGGUGGGGGGAGGAGAGGAGGCUCUAGUGAUCUUGGUAAGUCCUGCCCAGUUACUCUCUAUUUCCAGGGCUCCUGUUGUGCCCAUGUAGGUUAUGUGUGUCCACAUGGGUCUGUUUAGAUCUGACUUGCCAGGAGGCAAGAAUAGGUAUUUGUAGAGUCUACCUCCACCCUUAUCCAAGGGAGACUGUUCCUGUG